GCCUCUAAUAAAGUAUCAGAGGCCUUCAAAGGUAUGCAUUAUAUUGGUCAGAAACCAAUAGACUAUGAAAAGUCUAAUAAAGCGUAAUAGUAUAAGCAUGCUUGACUGAAAGACUGAUAGGUCGAUCAGAUACGCAAGUAGGAUAUAGUGAUCCGGUGAUUCAUAAUGGAAUGGUCAUCGCUCAAG
rnacentral:ncRNA from 1 species